AGGUGCGUGCUGUAAAAGAGUGGGUAGCAAGUCAUGAGGUGCAGGUUGUUGGUUGUGUUGUGUGGAAGAAGAAGGAGUCAGCACUGUGAGGGGCUGCCCAUAAGAAAUCACUGAAUGUGAUUGUGAACUUUUGAGAUAACAACCAUUUUUGUCUGGGAAAUACUUUGGCUGUGGCUGUUUUGGAAAUGCCAAGGAUGAUCAUGCUCAGUUAUCUCUGCUGUGAAGAUCUUCUUUCUUUGAACACAGAAGAGCCUUACUGGAGCCAAGUGCUGAAAAACCAGGCUCAUGAUGAAGCAUUGAGUUCUGGCAAGAAUCAGUCUCCUCCCUCCACCAUCUGCAGCCAAGCUGCUUUUUCUGCUUGUUUACUGUUGUUUGUGUUUUGAUGUGUAAAUUAUUUGAAAAAGAAAGAGAGGGCGCUAGACCCCACAGCAUCCAACAGAUGACGUGAACUCCUUACAACAGAAUAAUGUAAACUCCGUCCCUGUU